UUCAUGCCCACAGCUAGGAAGUCUUCCUCUAACAUCUUGAGAACUGAGAGAGUGGUAUUAACUUACAAAGUGAUAUGAUGAACUAAUUGGAGAACUUUGUGCUUCUUCAGUAUUCCACUCUCCCAGUAAAGAGAGGUGUGGAAAAAUGAAGAAGAGAGCUACAUUUUUAGAAGAGAGAAGUUUAUGAUGCUUGAGAGUAUGCUUCAGAGCUAUGUCUGUAGACAGUGCUGGGCUAGAGGAUCUGCUGAGUGAGCAAUGCAGGUUUCUUCAGAAUGAGUCUACAGCUAUUGUGGCUUCAUAGAGACAUUUUGAUUCCCAGAGAACUGACAAUGAAAGUAAAUGCAAUGUCUACAUUGUAUGCUAGGGCAGCAUGAGUGGUCUACUACAUGGCCACUAAAGGCAUCUGAUUGACCAAAACCAGUUAGACUUCUUCCCACAUUGUUUGAAAAUUCGAUGUUAAGAUGCCUACUUAUUCCCAGCUGUGAUAAAGUAGCAGUUUAUGAUUAACAAUUCCUACUUCCUUUAGCAACGUGCCCGAAUCAGAUCAGGAACUCCAGGAUCAUUUUGAUGAAGAAGUCAUCUUUCCAAUGAUUGGAAUUAAGAAGUUUCUCACAGAGUCUCCUGCUGCUCGAGCAGUCAUUGCUUCUGUAACGAGAGGUUACCCUGCCGUGAUGGUAUCAAACUUUUCUGCUUCCCAUGGUGCAUUCAGAGGUCAGCUGCAAUGAGAAUACAGAUGUCUGCUUGACAGAAUAAAAGAGAAACUGCAAUUUUAUAAAUCAUCAUGAACAAGGCUCAAAGAGACUGUGAUUUGUUGCACAAAACUUUUCCUGAUAUUACAGAAGAUUUUCUCUCUUCCUGUAAGUAAGGAAAUAAGAAUUUGAUAGUAGGUCCACCAGGUUUAUAUCGUAUUUGU